rnacentral:rRNA from 1 species
AUGAACGCUGGCGGCGUGCCUAAUACCUGCCAGUCGCGCGAACAGACGAGGAGCUUGCUCCUCUGACGUUAGCGGCGGACGGGUGAGUAACACGUGGAUAACCUACCUAUAAGACUGGGAUAACUUCGGGAAACCGGAGCUAAUACCGGAUAAUAUACUGAACCGCAUGGUUCAAUAGUGAAAGACGGUUUUGCUGUCACUUAUAGAUGGAUCCGCGCCGCAUUAGCUAGUUGGUAAGGUAACGGCUUACCAAGGCAACGAUGCGUAGCCGACCUGAGAGGGUGAUCGGCCACACUGGAACUGAGACACGGUCCAGACUCCUACGGGAGGCAGCAGUAGGGAAUCUUCCGCAAUGGGCGAAAGCCUGACGGAGCAACGCCGCGUGAGUGAUGAAGGUCUUCGGAUCGUAAAACUCUGUUAUUAGGGAAGAACAAAUGUGUAAGUAACUAUGCACGUCUUGACGGUACCUAAUCAGAAAGCCACGGCUAACUACGUG